GCUCGGUCGCUACGUAGCAACCGAGCGGGACGGACGCGAACUUGGCCGAGCUCGGUCGCUACGUAGCGACCGAGAGGGACAAACGCUCGGUUGCUACAUAACGACCAAGCGGGACGGAUGCUUGGUCGCUACGUAGCGACCGAGCUUGGCCGAGCUCUGUCGCUACGUAGCGACCGAGCGUGGCGCGUUUAGUCGCUGUGUUACGACCUUUUUGAGCGGUCGUCCAAUGUCUCGUUUUUCCUCUGCAAUGCUUUUCGUAAGAAAGAAUCUAUUUCGAAAAAGUAUUUAUCGGAGAAAGUUCUCUUCUUCUUCCUUGGACGUUUUGAAUGUUAACUUCGUCAUAACCGUUUUUGACCCCAACAGUUAGCCCCCCAGCUCAUUAGAGUCGAGACUCUAGAGCGCGGUUUGACGAUUUUGGCAAAGCUAGGCGUUUUGGACGAAGUUUAUACUCUCAACUCUGCGGAAGAAAUUCAUCGAGAAAGUAUAUGUAUUAUAGAUAUAAAUUCCAAACCUAUACUUCUAUAAGUAGUGAGCUCUUGUCAUUCAUUUUCUUCACACCUUCCCUUCUUCAAACCUUCAAAAACUUCUCUAGCUCCAAAACUUUUGCUUUCAACAUGUCUUCCUCCGAAGGUGACAAGAGAGAUUCCGACGUCGAGAUGGGCGAGGCCACCUCUCCGGCUCCGAUUCCGAUUUCUCAGGCUGAAGCGCCGGCUUGUGUUGCUGGUCAUCUCUCCUUCCGAGAGAGACUAGUUCGUCGACAAGCCGAGACGGAACUAGUUCAAGCUGGCACCGAGUUCCCGUCUUCUUCUACGCGGGCCGUUGCUCCGGGUCACGGGACCGAGGUUGUGGUUCCGCAGGACGAAAGAACUCUUGCAGGCUCGGGCAUUCCAGGUGCUCAAGCUCUACCUGCCGGAUCGUCCACGACUCCGAUCCUUGUCGGGGAUAAGGAAAGGGCUUCCUCCUCCGGCCAAGAAAAAAAUCGUUCUAGCGUUGCGCUCUCCUAGUGCUGUUCCGGUUACUCAGCCUAAGGGCCGAAAGAGGAAGCUGGCCAAGAGCGGUGACGGGGAAUCUUUGCAGCAAGGGGGAUCGAGCGUAGCGUCGGGACUUCGUGGAAAAGUUUGUCGCUCACUUGAUUUCUUGAUCGUUUCAUAUACAUUCUCUCUCGGACUUAGUUUUAACUUCUUUCUCGUUUGCAGUUCAUGUCGUUGAUCGAUGGGAUGAUCAGCGAGUGCAGUUCUGAGACUAGUCGUCUUGCCGGGUGUUGGGGUAAAAACCGGUCAUGACGGAAUCAAUGUCUGAAAGUCCGUAAAAAGCAGCAUGAACGUUUUUACGAAAAGUAAUCUUCGUAAAGAUAUCUUUACGAAGAGCCUUGCGGUAAAAUCUUGUUCAAAUCUCAAUCGAACCACUAAAUACCGAUUGUCCGAAGGCAACGGACAUAUAUCCAAAUCGGCCGCGGACAAGCUCGAGUAUGCUACGUAGCGACCGAACGUCCGUCCCGCUUGGUCGCUACGUAGCGACCGAGCUCGAGCCAAACUUUAUCGUGACGUAGCGACCGAGUGUGCAUUCUGUUCGGUCGCUACGUAGCGACCGAGCUCUUCCGAAACGUCGAUACGACACUAAUCCAUGCAUUCUCGUCUAUCCUUCGAUGCUAUCUCCCAAAGACCGUAGCGAACUCAUUUCAUGUUUUCCGCCAUUCUAAGUAAUCAACCAAACUUUGUGGUAAAAAUCGCGGAAAGUUCGUCCUUUUUCGAAAGAAGCCGUAAUAAACGUUUCGAGUCGGAAGACGGCCCAAAGGGACCUAAGACACGAAUCGAGGCCCAACUUACGAUUUCUUAACCAAGAGCCCGUAAGCUGCAUGACGAUUUACGCUUGGUUCGCAAGGAAAGAUAAAUGUCAAGUUUCCGCGGAUAAAUACGAAAUUUUGAAAAUAAUUACGAAGAUCGGAAAAAAUGGAAUAUCUCCAUUUUUAUGCUAUGACUGCUUAAGGGCAGAAGAGGAAAAGCGUAAACCGACCUAGGAGUGAGUAUAUAAGGAGUCCUAGGCAAGAGGCAUGGAGAGAGAACUUUUUCAGAGCAAACUUAGCAUUUAGAGCAAUUUAGGCAUAUUUCCGUUUUUGUUAUUUCGAGCUGCGACUCAAUUAGGUUUAGUCAUCUUAGGGUUGCCAGAACUAGGAAUCUCGCCGACAGCUCUCGAGCCAGGCUUAUACCUUGUUGUAACGCUCAAACACAGAUUCAGAAUAAGAUCUACUUUGCUCUCUUCUUACGAUUUUUAUACUUUGUCGUUGAUAUAUCGUGUUCUGAUUUCUUAGCGUGUGGUAUUAACAGAUCUCAAGGACCUCUGGGAAAUUAGGGUUUUCCUAGUCUCUUAUUUAAACGGAAAUCGACAGUGCAAAUUUCGGUUCCCACAGUUUGUCGCUAGAAGGAGGGGGGGGGGUACGGAUCAAUCUAACUCUCAGUCACAAAACGGUUGAUCAAAACAAUGUCUGGAAAUACGAAAGACAAAAUCACAGUUUGCAAUAACGCUGGUAAGACAACUCCAGCCGCCACUGCUCCUAUGGCCAACGCCUACGCAAACGCCACAGUUCUUGAGAAAAUCGAACUCGCGAUUUCUCUUGCUGAACAUAAAGGGAAACGAUAAAUCUUAUCAAUCCCCGUAAGUUUGGCUCAUUACCGAACAAAAAAAACCUCAAUGCGUAAGGGUUUUACCAAAACACGUUUUCCGAAGACAUUUCAGAAGGGUAAAACUUGUUCUCCCAGAAACCACUGAAAAACCCCUAGGUUAAUCACGGAAAAAGGAAACGCAACAAAUCGAUUACACAGGUCGCUACGUAGCGACCGAGCACGCACAACGUAGCGACCGAGCAUGCAAACAUUGCUCGGUCGCUACAUAGCGACCGAGCACGCACUGCUCGGUUGCUACGUAGCGACCGAGCACGCACACGCUGCUCGGUCGCUACGUAGCGGCCGAGCAUGCAUACUGCUCAGUCACUACGUAGCGACCGAGCACGAACACUGCUCGGUCGCUACGUAGCAACCGAGCUCAAGCCAACUCUCCACUCCCUGUGUAGCAACCUGUAAGGCCUCAGAAAGGUCCUCUUUUGGGGUCUCUUUUGAAUCCUCAUCGAAAUGCUUUUCGUUUCGUCUCAAUCGGAGUUUCCGUUGAGAUUUUACGAUGAUAAAAAGUAGGACUCUUAUUGGCUCACUUCCACUCGCUACGUAGCGCCCUGUCAGACCUUCAAUCGCUACAUAGCGACCUGUAAGGCCUCAGAAAGGUCCUCCUUUAGGUUCUAUUUUGAAUCCUCAUCGAAACGCUUUUCGUUUCGUCACAAUCGGAGUUUUCGUUGAGAUUUUACGACGAAAACAAGUAGGACUCUUCUUGGCUUGCUUCCAAUCGCUACGUAGCGACCUGUCUGACCUUCACUCGCUACGUAGCGACCUUUAAGGCCUCAGAAUGGUCCUCCUUUGGGUUCUCUUUUGAAUCCCGAUCGAAACGCUUUUCGUUUCGUCUCAAUCGGAGUUUCCGUUGAGAUUUUACGACGAAACCAAGUAGGACUCUUCUUGGCUUGCUUCCACUCGCUACAUAGCGACCUGUCAGACCCCCAGAUCGCUACACUGCGACCUCUCAAGCCUCAAAAAUCUCCUCCUUUGUGUUAUCUUUUGAAUCCCGAUCGAAACGUUUUUUGUUUCGUCUCAAUCGGAGUUUUCGUCGAGAUUUUACGACAAAAACAAGUAAGACUCGUCUAAACUCCUUCGCUUGCUCCAACUCGCCCUUACCUCCAGCUUUCUGUUCUCCUUCAUAUCUCGAUCGAAAUGUCUCUUGUUUCGAUUGGAGUUACCAUUGAAACUUUACGACAAAAAAAAAAAUACCGCAAAGACUUGCUUUCUCACGUGGAUUCAGAUUAAUCGUAUAAAACGGCAACAGUUAACUUAACACCUUAGCCGCCUCAACUAGACGAUUACGUUGAACCUUUUUACAAAAACUGACGUCGUAUCUAAGGAGAAGAUAACAGUCAAGUUUGGAAGAUAAAUGUCAAGUUUCAAAGCAUAAA